GUUAGUCCCUAUAUUUUGAAAAAACACAUUAAUUAAUCUCUGUAAUUUUGCUCAGCUAACUAUUUAAUUCCACAAUUAUUUUUUUACCUAAAUUACCCUAAUUCUCUCCUUAUUUCUUUUUUAUCCUCUCUUGUUUCUCUCUCCAUGUUUCUUUUCCUCUAUAUUCACAUCCUUCUCCCCUCAUUCUCUCUUUGUUUUCAUCUUUUGAUAGAAAAUAAUAAAAAUUGUUUACACAAAAAAGUUAAUCAAUUCCCUUAUAUCUCCAAGUAAUCAAGGUAAUAAUCCGGAAAAAUUGUUUCGAAAUAAAGAAAACGCAAAAAUGAUGCAUAGGAAAUGAAAUGAAAAUACUUGAACAAUUUAAAACAAAUGCAAAUUCAAAUUUAGUCUCCGCAUGACAAAAUUUCUAUUUUCAUCCAGG
rnacentral:misc_RNA from 1 species